CCACCACUUAAACAACAAAACCCUACCCCUUUCUCUUCUUAUUUCCCUAGCUUUACCACACCAUUCACGCCGUUUUUUGUCUUUCUCUUUCUCUUUCUUCUUCAAUCCUCUUAUCUCCUUUCCCAGAGCAAAAACGCCGCUACCACCACCUCCUUAACGUCGAUGUCGCUUAUCUCUUCCUUAACGUCGAUGUCGCUUAUUUCUUCCGUCCUCAACAUUAGCGUUGCUUCCUCCUUAACGCCAAAGUCACUUUGCCGGGGAUGCGACGGUGUCGAGUUGAUGCUUAAAUUGGUGUUGUUUGAAGAUUUUCGCUACAUCUUUGGUUGAACCGUAACUACUCUCUUACGUUUGUUGCUUAAAUUCGCUGAAAAUCAAGUCCGAAAAUUGAACUGGGCAUGCAUCUAAAUUUGUUGCUAUUCUCUACAUAACUCAUCGAUUUGCUGGAGUCCAAUUUUUUCUUGAAUUUUGAGAGUUCAUUUUCUGUCUUCAAUCUUCACAAGAAAAAGGAAAGAAAGGAGGUCGGUGCAUAUACCCAGGUCAAAGUUCAUUAUUGAAUUCUAUUGUAAUUAGAGAUUAGAGAAUUACAAUGAGACUAAUGUAACAUUUUUUUUAUUAUUCUUUACACUAUUGCUCAAGUAGUACAUUGCUGUGUUGUAACUCUAUUUUGCUUAAUUUCAAUAUCAUUUUAUUUUUUGUUAUUUUGUUUUUAUGCUUAUUUAUUUAUUUUUUUUAUAUUGAUUUUUGCUCAACUCCGCCAAUUUUAAUAGUGCGUGACAUUCAAAUUUCAAAAAUCAAUUUUUUUUGUUAAAUUAAAGAUUUAACAGACCCGUUGUGUAAGGUACCAGGUUUGUUUAAUCACUAAACAGACCAUAGAUUUCAUAUAACGGGUCUCUUUCCCUUUUAAAAUUAUCUCCUUAUAGGUUAUAGAACAGACCGCCUAUCUCCAGCAACGGAUCUGUUUGUUCUA